GACAGAGGGUGCUAGCGUUGUUCGGAAUUACUGGGCGUAAAGCGCGCGUAGGCGGCUUUGCAAGUCGGGUGUGAAAUCCCCAGGCUUAACCUGGGAACUGCAUUCGAGACUGCAUUGCUAGAGUAUGGGAGAGGGAAGUGGAAUUUCCGGUGUAGCGGUGAAAUGCGUAGAUAUCGGAAGGAACAUCAGUGGCGAAAGCGACUUCCUGGACCAAUACUGACGCUCAUGUGCGAAAGCGUGGGGAGCAAACAGG
rnacentral:rRNA from 1 species